UUUCCGGUUGAUCCCGCCGGACCCGACCGCUAUCGGGGUGGGGCUAAGCCAUGCAAGUCAGGGCUCCGGGCAAUGGCGGGGCCCGGCGGACGGCUCAGUAGCACGUGGCUAACCUACCCUCGGGACGGGGAUAUCCCCGGGAAACUGGGGGUAAUCCCCGAUAGGUGCGGACUCCUGGAAUGGGUCCGCGCCGAGAGGGGUGCAGCGCCACGCCCGCUGCACCCGCCCGAGGAUGGGGCUGCGCCCCAUCAUGGUAGUUGGCGGGGUAACGGCCCGCCAAGCCGAAGACGGGUGGGGGCCGUGAGAGCGGGAGCCCCGAGAUGGGCACUGAGACAAGGGCCCAGGCCCUACGGGGCGCAGCAGGCGCGAAACCUCCGCAAUGCGGGAAACCGCGACGGGGUCACCCCGAGUGCCGCCCGAUGAGGGCGGCUUUUCCCCGGUGUAAGAAGCCGGGGGAAUAAGCGGGGGGCAAGUCUGGUGUCAGCCGCCGCGGUAAUACCAGCCCCGCGAGUGGUCGGGACUUUUAUUGGGCCUAAAGCGUCCGUAGCCGGCCCGGUAAGUCCCUCCUCAAAGCCCACGGCUCAACCGUGGGACGGGAGGGAUACUGCCGGGCUAGGGGGCGGGAGAGGCCGGGGGUACUCCCGGGGUAGGGGCGAAAUCCGUUAAUCCCGGGAGGACCGCCAGUGGCGAAGGCGCCCGGCUGGAACGCGCCCGACGGUGAGGGACGAAAGCUGGGGGAGCAAAGGGGAUUAGAUACCCCCGUAGUCCCAGCUGUAAACGAUGCGGGCUAGGUGUUGGGCGGGCCUCGAGCCCGCCCAGUGCCGCAGGGAAGCCGUUAAGCCCGCCGCCUGGGGAGUACGGCCGCAAGGCUGAAACUUAAAGGAAUUGGCGGGGGAGCACCACAAGGGGUGAAGCUUGCGGUUUAAUUGGAGUCAACGCCGGG
rnacentral:rRNA from 1 species